AAAGCUCAAAUUUGAAAUCUGGCACUAUUAGUGUCCGAGUUGUAAUUUGGAGAGGCAACUUCAGGUAGGGUCCAGCCUAUGUUCCUUGGAACAGGACAUCAUAGAGGGUGAGAAUCCCGUUCUUGGCUGGAUGCCCUUGCCAGUAUGUAGUGCCUUCUACGAGUCGAGUUGUUUGGGAAUGCAGCUCAAAAUGGGUGGUAAAUUUCAUCUAAAGCUAAAUAUUGGCGAGAGACCGAUA
rnacentral:rRNA from 1 species